CUUAAGUUUUAAAUCAAGAUAUAUUUAUACAAGUUUUCGUAGCUUUGCAAUAUCUUUGAACAUUUCUCGACUUCAAUUUAUCGUAGCUUUGCAAUAUUCUCAGCAAAUUUCUCGCACUUCAACUGCAGCUGGCAAUCCGAGAAUUCCGGCUACGUCUGUCCAUGUGUCCGUCUGUCUGUCUGGUCUGCUGGGUGCUGUCAUAAAAGUGCUCUCCGAUUGCAUAAUUUGGACAACGCCUUUUAAUUGAAACAUAAACGCCAUUUUUAUUGCGCAUACGCACGCGCCAAUGAUUGAGGCAUUUUAUUUACCGUAAAAACAACAAAAAACAAAAACGAAAAACAACAGCGAGAAGAAGAAGAAGCUGAAGCGACGCAAUUUGCGCAGAAAUUGCAAAUCGCCCAUAAGACAUAAAUGAAAUUUUUAUAAUCGAAACGAGACGCUGACGGAGGUCGCCACCGGCCGCGCAUGCGCCGAAUUUUAGCGUCGUUUAUUUUUUUGCUUUGUUUGUUUUUUUUUUUUGUGAUAUGAUUUUAACUGUUAUUGUUAUUAAGUUUUGGGCCAGUGACAGCAGCAGCGAGUGGCCGGGGAAGCCGACAAAGCCACGUCUUGACGCCCCAACGUGACAUGUCCAGGCCAAGCUGCGAGUCAGUGUCAGAGUCAGAGUCCAGGAUAACGCGCUUUGAUCUUCGCCUUGGCGGCGGCGGCGGCGGCAGCCAAAGACUGAAAGUCAGAUCGGCGGGGGUGUAGCACGUGCAGGCUGUGCCUCUCUGGGGGCGAUGCUAUCAUUGCAGCCGACUGCUUUCUUUAAUAAGCUGCAGCUGAAGCUGAAGCUGCGGCCGGCCGGUCGGCCGGGGCACGGCGCAAAAACAAAAGACUUAAGGCACAAACGCGUUUUCAUAGUAGCCCCUCACAGCGCGAUGCUUUACACCUGAUAACCAAGGCAACAACGUGGCGAACGCAUCGACGCACUCAUUGAGCCCGCCACAGGACUGUGGCCACGACGACGACGUCGACGACGACGACGUCGACUGCGACUGCGACUGCGCUAUGCAGUUGUGAUGUAAUCAGGCUCGGCUGUUGCCGCUGCCUCAGCUCCUCGAUUCUGCGCGCGGUUCCUGCGAUUUGCCGUAGCUGCCUCUGGAGUCAUCGUCUGCUGCUGCCGCUGCUGCUGUCGAUGUCGAGCAUUUUUAUGAUUAAACUAAUUUUUCUUGCCCGCAACUCUUAUAGCAGGUGAUGCGGCUCCAGUUCCCUCCGCCUGCCAAGUUAUUUUAAUAAACUGCGCGACGUGCCACGCAUUUUGAGAGAC